CAAGAGUACUUAAGACGAUGUCAAUGUAAUUUUAAGUCUUACCACCGGUGAACUGCGUUGACCAAUCACAGAGAUAUGUGGGCCACAAACUUGAUGAGGAGCCUCCCCUCCUCUUCUCCUGCUGGGGCUCCGCUGCAGAAACGGCGCACACGGCGUGUCACGACAGUGCGUCACACUAAACCCACAGA